rnacentral:lncRNA from 1 species
GCCUUUCAACUUAAGGAAAACAAACUUAACUUUCUUGUCCUCGGAUAACUCUUUCCAUUCAAAGAACUAUUCUAUUUUAUCUAACCAAUCUAUGAAUUCCUCAGAUUGUAAUCUACCCUCAAACUCACUUACAUGCAUCUUAAUGCCCUGAUCCCAUUGAGAAAUGUUUCUUUGAUUUUGGGGAAGCAGGUUUCUUCUAGCUAGUAAAGUACGAGUGUCAAAAUCAGUGUCACUCUCAAAAUCUUCCCUUCUUUCAUUUUGUCGUUGCAUGAUUAAAAUUUGUAACAUUUGUUGAAUAUUAUUCAUUUGUUCUUGCAUGUCUCUCAUGUAUGUUUGCAAUCUUUGAUAUGCUUCUUUCCAAUCUCGAGAUUCUUCCCUGCCAUUACUAAGAUGCUAUCAGGUUGAUCAAUGUAGUGGUUGAUGUUUUGAAAGUUUUUUUUUUUUUAAAAUGAUCAAACCAAAACAAGCAUUCUCAAGGAAAGAACUUGCUCUGGUAUUAAAAUUUUGAAAACUAUUUUUUUUUUUUUGUAGAAUUCUAGAGAACUUCAAUCACCAUAAGCAAAAUAGUAAAUUAAAUUUUUAGCAAGAAAGUGAUAGUAAAAUCCAACUAAGAGCAACACAAAGAUGAUAGGAAGCAUACUAUAUAAGAAACAAUAAUAUUACUCAACUAAACUGCUUAUAAAUAUUCCAACAAAAGUAGUAAGUUUAAUCCUAUCGGGCAUAAAACUCUUAAUUUUUGAUUGAUUCAGUAAGGGUUGACAAUAGUGGAGGGAUAGCUGAAAAAUAAUGAUACCUGGGAUAAGGAGAGGUUAGGAUUCAAGAGGGACAUAGUGUACCGAUCGCGUGACUACGGGAGAUCCACGAUUGACGAGGAUAGCGGCCACACAAUGGGUAGAAUUUCAGCAAAAGGGGAAGGAAGAGAGGGGCAGCAAUCCAGAAGAAGUGUUAAUGAAGAAGAAGAAGCCAACAACACCGCAAGAAAGAAGCGACACGAUCAAUAGGAGAAAGGAAGAAGAUAAGAGGUCAAUAGAAAAUUUUUAUUCUUCAAAAAUCUCACCUCCCAAGCUUCAACAUUUAGAUAUUUAUAAUGCCAAAAAUCAGCCUCAUAUUGAUUUCUAUUGUCUUUUCAUUUUUCAAGACAGCACUGCAUUAAAAAUCAGCUUGUCUCUUCAUUUUUCCAAGGCAGCACCGCAUUAAAAAUCAGCUUAUCUCUUGUCUUUUCAUUUUCUCCAAAACACCGACUCCAAAAGGUCAAAAGAUGAAAGAGAAGAGGAGGCAUUAACUUCAGCCCAUUACUCCUCCAUUUACUCCAAGGCACAUGCUCCAAAAGUCAAAAGGUGCAAAAAAAAAAGAAGACAUUAAGUUCAGCCAUGUUGGUUUUGGAUUUUGGAGAUAAUUUUGAUGGAUGAUAGGUUUAGGUUAACUGAACCAACUAAAACUAAUUGUCUCAAGCCCAAAUUAGACACAAACUCACAAAACAAAAAGAAAUUUGCAUGCAAUAAAAUAAGAAAUGAUGAUUGUAGCACUAAUGGCUGCAUCAGAUUCACAUCCACAGAUGAAUCUAAUGCAAGCUACAGAGAUCCAUUUAUAGAUUGAAGUGGAGUUAGAACAUGCGCAUUGAUAAAAAAAUCAAAACGUAUGGCUUCAUUAAGAACGGAAAGGAGCCUUGUGUCUACAAAUGGACUAAUGAUUCUGUAGUCAUAUUUCUUGUAUUGUAUGUGAAUGACAUUCUCUUAAUUGGGAAUGACAUCCCUGCAUUACAAAAUGUGAAACUCUAGCUGUCAUCACAAUUUUCCAUGAAGGAUUUGGAAGAAGCAUCCUACAUCUUAGGGAUGAAGAUCUAUAGAGGUAGAUCUAAAAAGUUGCUUCGAUUGUUCCAGUCCACAUAUAUUGAUACCAUGCUGAAAUGGUUCAGCAUGACGAAUUUCGAAAGAGACUAUCUACCGAUAGGCCGAGGAAUAACUCUCUAAAAAGGAUUGUCCGACAACUUCACAAGAAAGCGUAUAAAUAGAAUCCUAUAUGCCUCAGCAGUGGGAUCUAUCAUGUAUGCCAUGAUAUGUACGAGACCGAAUGUGGCAUACUCACUAGGGGUAGCGAGUAGAUAUCAGUCUAAUCCAGAUGAAAAGCAUUGAAAAGUUAUAAAAACAAUCCUUAAGUAUUUAAAAAAUACUAAGGACCAAUGGUUUGUUUAUGGAGAUACUGACUUAAAACUUGUGGAAAUACAUAUUUCAGUUUUCAAUCAAACCAUAAUAACAGCAAAAGUGUCUGGUUAUAUUUUACCUUGUAUAGCGGGAUGAUAUGCUAAAACAAUUCCAAGCAACACACAAUAGCUGGCUCUGUAUGCGAAACGGAAUACAAUGCGACAUUCGAUGCUGUCAAAAAAGCUGUUUAGUUAAGAAAGUUCACCAGUGAGCUCGGGGUGGUUCCCUCCGUUAAUGGUCAAUUCUAUCAUUUUGUGAUAGUACUAAAGUCAUUGCUCAAGCAAAAGAAUCCAAGUCCCUACAGAGAACCAAAUACAUUCUAUGUCGUCAUCACCUUGUUCAAAAGAUCGUUGAUAGAGGCGAUAUUAAUCUACAGAAGAUCGAUGGAAAAAAAAACCUGACCGACCUCUUCACUAAAACCCUCGAAAUCAAAGAGUUCGAUGAUCACAAAUAGAAGAUCGAUAUUAGAUACAAAUCUGAUUGACUUUAGUACAACUGGGAGUUAUUGGGAUUAUCCUAAAGCCAAUUAUCUAACAGUAGACAGUUGUGUAUUUAUAUAUGAAUUGUAAAUAAAUUAAUAAAUGUUAUUUGGCAGUUCAUCAUAUUUUGCAUCUUAUAAAACUCUUAUUAUUAUUAUGAAGUCCUUAGAACUAUUAACAAUCGAUAAAAGUGACAAGGAUUUAUCGAGUUCUUAAAUUUUGUUCGUAACCAAAUGUUAUAUUAUUAAUAGGACGAUAACGUUUAUGAAGUAUAGAUUGUUGUAUGCUAUAUGAGUUGGUUGUGCUAGUAACCAAAGAGUGUGAAGACACUAGUAUGGCAUGCAGAUGAAUGUAAAAAUACAUUUUCACUGAACGUGACUCAGCUACAGAGCGCUCUACUGUUAAGAGCAACUCGUGAAGGAUAUGGGUAUAAGUAUCCCUCCGACCUGAGAUCACCACAGUGACUUGCAAGCAACUCAGUCAAGUACCUACAAAGUCUGUGAAUCAAAAUGGAAUUGACCACUCCAGAUUUUAAGAAAUAAUGCUUCACUGUGUUUCAAUUCGGUAAUACUUUGGUCAAGAUAAUCCUUAAAAUCAGCCAUAGAAAUUAUAAGAUUGAAAUAUAAUAUGGAUGACUGAUUAAGAGUUUGAUAGUUUACUCUGAGAUCAUCCUAAGCAUUGAAGGUCAAAGGAAUGAAUUAUACAGUAACCAUAUGACAAGAUUCUUGAAUGUUGCCUUACAAUAAUUCGACCCAUCCAGACAUCGGGUAUCAUUGCUAGAUGAUCACUUUGAUUAGUACAUGAAUUAGUUCCUAUACUACUGACUUAAUGUUUGAACCUGUGAAGUCAUGCACAUUAUCAAGCAACGUGGAAAGGGUUUGACCUAAGAUCUAUAUGUUCAAUUUGGAAGUAGGUGACUUGAUUGAACAAAUAAAUUUACUUAAUUGAGAAUUAACUUCUAGAUCAUACGGAAUUAAAUACUGACUAUGUCUAGCUAGCACUGGGUAUUAGCUGCAAGAUUAAUUCCAGGGAUGAACUUAAAUUAAUCUGUAAUCCAAAGAAUUUGAGAGGAUUGGAUUCGAGUCCUAAUUAAUUUAAAUUAGAUUUAAUUUAAUUAGGCUUGAUUUAAGGCUAAUUGGGUUUAAUUAUCCAAAUUGGACUUGGAUCUCAAUCUUAAUUAGAUUAGGAUUGACAGUCUUUUUGAAUUUGAUUCGAAUCGGAUUCGAAUUGGAUUCGAAUUGAAUCCAAAUUGGAACCAAAUUGAAAUUGAUCACCUAAGCCUAAAAUCCCUGGGUUUCUCUCUCCUUAUUGGUCGAACAAGUGGAAGGAGGGGUGCUGAAAAUCCCGCCUCCUUCCCUUCGUGCACGUGAAAGCAUAAGUGGCGCCUUCCCUUAUCUCUUUGGGUUUCAAAUUAUGGAUAAGAACUAAUUCAAAACCAAAUUCAAAUUUGAUUUUGAAUUAGUUUGAAUUAAGUUCUUAUCACCAAGGGGUGAUGGAACAGAUUUUGUGCAACAAAAUUAAUAAGAAGGGGCGUGAAGGGGCAUGGAAGAGAGAUGCUUGUCAUUCUUCUUAGAAAGUUGGCUUCCCGUGUGUCCUGAUCUCCACGUCCUCUUGCUUCCCUUACAAAGUGGUGACGCCCCUGGGUCUUCAUCCUCCUUUUCUGCGAAGCGUGGCGUGCAUGCGAAGUAAAGGAGCCGCACGAGCAGCUCUAGCAAAGUGACUUCUUACUGUCCUGAUCAAGUUUCUUUCGCUUCCGUCGAGGUAUAGAACAAUCAGCUGCCUCAAGGCAUUAUUUGACGUACAUAAUCCACUUCUAGAAUAUUUGCUCAUUCUCCAAAAUGGAACACUAAAGCAAGGUUGGAAGAACCACUACUGACUGGUAUGCUGGCCAACAACUGGCACAUUACGGUACCAGUCCGUACCUUCUGGGACCACAGAGAGGGAGAGGGAGAUGGCUAGAGAAGGAAAGCUAGGGUCUUGAGCUCGACAGUAGGUGAAUUGACUGGUUCUCAAAAACACUAGCUGAGGUUUCGAGGGAGGGAGAGAGAGGGGAGACUUACUAGACGUGCUAGUGGCAAAGUGAAUGAGGGGUUGCUCAAGUCUUAAACAAUUGAACAGAAUGGGGCUGCUCAAGUCUCAAACGAUCAAAUGGAAGGAGGGGGAGCUGGAUCUUAAAUGAUUGAACAAAGUGAUCAAAGUCAUCCGCCCAUCGAAUGGAGGGCAUACCUAUCGAUUGGCAAGGGCAAUGAGAACAAGACAAGCACGACCACAAGAGAUUUUUUUUUUUGUGGGGGGGGGU